rnacentral:rRNA from 1 species
AUGAACGCUAGCGGCAGGCUUAACACAUGCAAGUCGAACGGUAACAGGGUAGCAAUACCGCUGACGAGUGGCGCACGGGUGCGUAACACGUAUGCAACUUACCCGCAACUGGGGCAUAGCCCGGAGAAAUCCGGAUUAACUCCCCAUAAAACAGGGAUACCACAUGGUAAUAUUUGUUAAAAUUCAGGUGGUUGCGGAUAGGCAUGCGGCCCAUUAGCUAGUUGGUAAGGUAACGGCUUACCAAGGCAACGAUGGGUAGGGGGUCUGAGAGGACGAUCCCCCACACGGGUACUGAGACACGGACCCGACUCCUACGGGAGGCAGCAGUGAGGAAUAUUGGACAAUGGAGGCAACUCUGAUCCAGCCAUGCCGCGUGAAGGAUGAAGGCGCUAUGCGUUGUAAACUUCUUUUCUACGGGAAGAAAAAGUCCGACUCGUUCGGAUACUGACGGUACUGUAGGAAUAAGCAUCGGCUAACUCCGU